ensembl:misc_RNA Metazoa_SRP Metazoan signal recognition particle RNA
GCCAGGCAUGGUGGCUCAUGCCUGUAAUCCCAGCACUUUGGGAGGCUGAAGUAGGAGGAUUGCUUGAGCCCAGGAGUUCAAGACUAGCCUGGGCAACACAGCAAGACCCUAUCUCUA